UAUUAAAGUUGUUGCGGUUAAAAAGCUCGUAGUCGAAUUUGUGUCCCACGCCGCCGGUUCAUCGUACGCGGUGUUAACUGGCGUGUCGCGGGACGUCCUGCCGGUGGGCCUAAGUCCGCAAGGGCGUCGGCCCGACCCAAUCCUGCCGCGGUGCUCUUCACUGAGUGUCGAGGUGGGCCGGCACGUUUACUUUGAACAAAUUAGAGUGCUUAAAGCAGGCUAAAACUUCGCCUGAAUACUGUGUGCAUGGAAUAAUGGAAUAGGACCUCGGUUCUAUUUUGUUGGUUUUCGGAACCCCGAGGUAAUGAUUAAUAGGAACGGAUGGGGGCAUUCGUAUUGCGACGUUAGAGGUGAAAUUCUUGGAUCGUCGCAAGACGGACAGAAGCGAAAGCAUU
rnacentral:rRNA from 1 species